AAACCAACCGGGAUUGCCUUAGUAACGGCGAGUGAAGCGGCAAAAGCUCAAAUUUGAAAUCUGUACCUUCCGUGCCCCAAUUGUAAUUUGGAAAAGGCAACUUUGGGGCCCUUCCUUGUCUAUUUUCCUUGGAACAGGACGUCAUAAAAGGUGAAAAUCCCGUGUGGGGAGGAAUGGGGUUCUUUGUAAAGUGGCUUCCAAAAAUCCAGUUGGUUGGGAAUGCAGCUCUUAGUGGGUGGUAAAUUCCCUCUAAAGCUAAAUAUUGGCGAAAAACCGAUAGCGAACAAGUACCGGGAUGGAAAGAAGAAAAGAACUUUGAAAAGAAAGUGAAAAAGUACCUGAAAUUGGUGAAAGGGAAGGGCAUUUGAUCCGACCUGGGGGUUUGGGGCCUCUGGUCCUUGGGGGUAAGGGAAUCUCGCAUUUCACUGGGCCAGCAUCAGUUUUGGUGGCAGGAUAAAUCCCUAAGAAUGGAACUUGGCUCCGUAAGUAUUAUAACCUGGGGGAAUACUGGCCGCUGGGACUGAAGACUGGGACGUAAGUCAAGGAUGGUGGCAUAAUGGUUAUAUGGCGC
rnacentral:rRNA from 1 species